rnacentral:rRNA from 1 species
GAUCAUGGCUCAGGAUGAACGCUAGCGACAGGCUUAACACAUGCAAGUCGAGGGGCAGCGGGGUGUAGCAAUACACCGCCGGCGACCGGCGCACGGGUGAGUAACGCGUAUGCAACUUGCCUAUCAGAGGGGGAUAACCCGGCGAAAGUCGGACUAAUACCGCAAUGAAGCAGGGAUCCCGCAUGGGGAUAUUUGCUAAAGAUUCAUCGCUGAUAGAUAGGCAUGCG